AAAGUAGAUUUGCACUGACGGUUC
rnacentral:miRNA from 1 species